rnacentral:tRNA from 1 species
GUCCUCAUAGCUUAAAACAAAGCGUGACACUGAAGAUGUCAAGACGGAUGCCACACACACCUGAGGACA